UACUCGGUAGCUCAAUGGUGGAGCAACCGGCUGUUAACCGGUAGGCUGGCGGUUCGGGUCCUGCUGAGGAGCCA
rnacentral:tRNA from 1 species